rnacentral:tRNA from 1 species
GGAGAGAUGCGAGAGUGGUUGAAUCGGGCGGUCUCGAAAACCGUUGAGCCGUUAUACGGCUCCGAGGGUUCGAAUCCCUCUCUCUCCGCCU